CGGUAAUACAUAGGUCCCAAGCGUUAUCCGGAUUUACUGGGCGUAAAGUGUCCGUAGCCGGACAUAUAAGUCUGUUUUCAAAUCCUAUGGCUCAACUAUAGACAGGGAAUAGAUACUGUAUGUCUGGAAGUUAUUGGGGGUUAGUGGAAUUUCAGGUGGAGCGGUGAAAUGCGUUGAUAUCUGAAAGAACGCCGAAAGCGAAAGCAGCUAACUACAAUAAACUUGACGGUAAUGGACGAAAGCUUGGGGAGCGAACGGGAUUAGAUACCCCGGUAGUCCAAGCUGUAAAUGAUGCUUGCUAGAUGUUUUGGACCCUUGUGGUCUGGAGUGUCGUAAUCUAACGAGUUAAGCAAGCCGCCUGGGUAGUAUAUUCGCAAGAAUGAAACUCAAAGGGAUAGGCGGGGGAACACACAAGCAGUGGAUUGUCUAGAUUAAUUGGACAAUAAGCCAAGAAUCUUACCUAGAUUUGACAUGUACUAUGUCCUAUGUGAAAGCAUAGUAGUCCGAGCAAUCGGACAUGGUAUACAGGUGGUGCAUGGUCGUCGUCAGCUCGUGCCGCAAGGUGUCUAGUUAAGUCUGGAAACGAGCGCAACCCUCAUCUUUAGUUAGAAUGUCUAAAGAGACUGCUCCGGUAACGGAGAGGAAGGAGAGGAUGACGUCAGAUCCUCAUGCCCCUUACAUCUAGGGCUUCAUAGACAAUACAAUGGGUGAUACAACGAGAAGCUAAGCCGCGAGGUGGAGCAAACCUCUGAAAUCAUCCCAAGUUCGGAUUGUAGUCUGGAACUCGACUACAUGAAGUUGGAAUUGCUAGUAAGGCGGGUCAUCUACACCGACCGUGNAAUAC
rnacentral:rRNA from 1 species